AGAAACCACCACAGGGGCCUGAAAAAUGGCUCCUCUGUUUAUAACACACCCAACAGGAAUUUGGGGUCAUUGUGAUGGGGGGCACAAAACUUGUGGCCUCCCCAUGAAUGAACUACCUCCACGU